GUGUGCGUCACGUGCAGUCAUCCUCUUGAGAACUGUCCACACCUUCACUGGCUGUGGGCAGGUAUCAGAAUUUUACUUUGAAAAAAUUAGAGUGUUUCAGGCAGGCAAUUGCCCGAAUACAUUAAGCAUGGAAUAAUGGAAUAGGACUUCUCCCAUUUUGUUGGUUAUGGUGAGUAUGAUAAUAAGGGACAGUUGGGGGCAUUAGUAUUUAAUGUCAGAGGUGAAAUUCUUGGAUUUAUUAAAGACUAACUAAUGCGAAAGCAUUUGCCAAGGAUGUUUUCAUUGAUCUAGAACGAAAGUUAGGGGAUCAAAGACGAUCAGAACCGUGUAGUCUUAACUAUAACUAUACCGACUAGGGAUUGGAAGGACCUCAAGCCUUUUCAGCACCUAAUGAGAAAUCAAAGUCUCUGGGUUCUGGGGGGAGUAUGGUCGCAAGGCUGAAACUUAAAGGAAUUGACGGAAGGGCACACCAGGAGUGGAGCCUGCGGCUUAAUUUGACUCAACACGGGGAAACUUACCAGGUCAAGACAUGGUUAGGAUUGACAGAUUGAGAGCUCUUUCUUGAUUCUAUGGGUAGUGGUGCAUGGCCGUUCUUAGUUGGUGGAGUGAUUUGUCUGGUUAAUUCCGUUAACGAACGAGACCUUAACCUGCUAACUAGUCACCGGCAUUACAAUGUCGGUCGACUUCUUAGAGGGACUAUGUG
rnacentral:rRNA from 1 species